AUAAAAUUUUAAAAGACUAGCUAGAAAAUAAUAUUGGUAUUUUAAAUUCUUGUAUUGUUAUUUUUAUCAAAAUAGUGUUAAUAAGAAGAGUCUAAGAGUAUUGGUUAAAGAAAUUUAAUAAAAAAGCUAAAGUGGUAGUACUGUGAAGGAAAGUUGAAAUAAUAUGAAAGAUAAUUAAAUCAGGAAAGAAAAAGUUAAAGUUUGUACCUUUUGUAUGAUGGUUCAAUAAGGUUGUGUAAAUAGUGUUUUAUAACCCGAAGCUGGGCGAGCUAGUGUAUUCUGCUUUAAGAGAGAGAGCUUUUACUGUUGCAAUAGUAAGGUUUGAGGGUACAUUAGGUGUGAAAUGCUUAUCGCGCUCAGGGAUAGCUGGUUUUCCUAGAAAUUGGGUGUAAGCUAAAUAUUGUUUCUAUCAUUGUAGUAAUUAUUUUACAGAAUAAGAAAGUAGUUUUUGAUAGUAGCAUAAUUGUAAGACAGGAAGGGAUAAGCUUAUUUAGUGCAGAAGAUACAAAAGAUUUUUAGAAAAUAAUUCUAAAUUGUAAAAAUUUAUAGGAGAAUUUCAUAAGUUUGAAAGUUAUAAUGUUGAAAUUAGUAGAGAGUAAGAGCAUAUUUUUUGUGGAUUAAUCAGGCCUAACAUUGGAUGGAACAAUUAUUCAUUAUCGGGAAAUUAGUUUGUUAAAGUUGUCUACUAACACAAGUAAUAUGGUGUAACCUAAUUAAGGGAAAGGAACUCGGCAAAUAAAGAUUUCGCCUGUUUACCAAAAACAUCGCCCUUUGUAAAGAAUCUAACAUAUAAAGGGUCCUGCCUGCCCAGUGACUUAGUUAAACGGCCGCGGUAUCUUGACCGUGCAAAGGUAGCAUAAUCAUUUGCCUCUUAAAUGGGGGCUGGUAUGAAUGGCAAGACGGGAAUCAAGCUGUCUCUCCCUUAUAUCUUGAAGUUAAUAUUUCUGUGAAGAAGCAGAAAUGAGAUCGCAGGACGAGAAGACCCUAUCGAGCUUUAGUAGAAAUAAGAUAUAACUUGUUAAUAGUGUUUGUGCUGCUAAUUCAAUUGUUAAAAACAGUUCCUAUAGUUUUACUGCUAAAAACAUUAGUGUUGUAUAUAUAAUACUUAGGUUGGGGCAACCGCGGAGAAUAAUUAUCCUCCGUUAAUUUUAUUGAAAAAAUAAUUAUUUUUCAAUAUAAGAUUUAUUUAAAGAGUGAUCCACUUGAAAUGGUGAGCAAAAGAAUAAGUUACCGUAGGGAUAACAGCGUAAUUUUUUUGGAGAGUUCAUAUUGAUAAAAAAGUUUGCGACCUCGAUGUUGGAUCGGGAUUUCCUGGGGAUGCAGCAGUUCCCGAUGGUUGGUCUGUUCGACCAUUAAAAUCCUACGUGAUCUGAGUUCAGACCGGCGGGAGCCAGGUCAGUUUCUAUCCACGAUUUUAAAAAAAAUAGUUUUUCUUAGUACGAAAGGACCAGAAAGGCGGUACCCCUGCUUAAAGGUAUGUACUGUAACAGUGUUCUGUUAAAAAAUAAGAUAAAAUGGAAUUAUUUGCGUA
rnacentral:rRNA from 1 species